rnacentral:rRNA from 1 species
AACGAACGCUGGCGGCAUGCCUAACACAUGCAAGUCGAACGAGACCUUCGGGUCUAGUGGCGCACGGGUGCGUAACGCGUGGGAACCUGCCCUUAGGUUCGGAAUAACUCCCCGUAAGGGGUGCUAAUACCGGAUAAUGUCUUCGGACCAAAGAUUGAUCGCCUUUGGAUGGGCCCGCGUUGGUUUAGCUAGUUGGUAGGGUAAAAGCCUACCAAGGCGACGAUCCAUAGCUGGUCUGAGAGGAUGAUCAGCCACACUGGGACUGAGACACGGCCCAGACUCCUACGGGAGGCAGGAGUGGGGAAUAUAGGACAAUGGGCGAAAGCCUGAUCCAGCAAUGCCGCGUGAGUGAUGAAGGCCUUAGGGUUGUAAAGCUCUUUUACCCGGGAUGAUAAUGACAGUACCGGGAGAAUAAGCACCGGCUAACUCCGUG